rnacentral:rRNA from 1 species
UGCGUAGGGCGCAAGCGUUGUCCGGAAUUAUUGGGCGUAAAGAGCUCGUAGGCGGCUUGUCACGUCGGGUGUGAAAGCCCGGGGUUUAACCCCGGGUCUGCAUUCGAUACGGGCUGGCUAGAGUGUGGUAGGGGAGAUCGGAAUUCCUGGUGUAGCGGUGAAAUGCGCAGAUAUCAGGAGGAACACCGGUGGCGAAGGCGGAUCUCUGGGCCAUUACUGACGCUGAGGAGCGAAAGCGUGGGGAGCAAACAGG